UAGACUUGGGUAGAACUGAUGUUGGGACUGGGUAGUUGUGGGGCCAGAACGACUUGGGGGGCGCAGAUGUGGGAUGAGAGCUCCUGCUGCAGGGGCCAAAAUCCCCUGAAUAAGUUUGGCAGCAUUGGCCACAGUAAUUCUCACACAUACUGCGGGUGAGCAGGGGGAGUUCAACAGUCGAAUGACAGAUAUGAACACAAUACAAAUGGUAUUUGUUCUUAAGUUUCAGAAUUUUGGGGUCCAAGCCCUUGUUUUUUGAGCCUCUGGUGAGGAAGAGCUAAGGCAGGAGGUGCCCUGCUGGGGUGUGUGUAGAAAAGAAGGGGGUGAGAAGAGUCUUGGAUCCAGGAUCUAGGGGACAGGCCUAGCUUACAUUGAAUGCUGGAGGAGGCUUCCCCUGGCGAGCUGGUUACAGAGCAAGGUUUGCAGAUGUGGACUCUAAAAUUGUGCCAGCCUGUGCAGACCAUGGUGCUUUGGUUGCAGGCUGCAUUUGCACCAGCAGAGCAGGUGGUCACACUCCCCAGUGUAGUUUGCACCCACAGCUGAGAGCCUCAGCACAAGCAGAAGUGUAGAGGCUGCUUUGUCACUGUGCUGGAAAACGGACCUCAAGCACAGGCCACUGUCACCUUUACUCCCAGAACAGAUGCCUGCCACUUCCCCAGCAGAGAGAGCCCACAGAGACUAUCAGCACUGGGGAUCUGACCAGGAAACCAGAAAUGAGCUUUGUCCUUCCUCCUCCUCCUCCUCCCCCUGCCUGACACCCCCACUCACCCCAAAUGUUCCCUGCUAAGGGAAAGGCCAGGCAGUUACCUUAGGAGCUGAGCCUGGUCGCCUGCUGCCUCUUGCUUUCUUCUUGGGUCUGUGUAUUGUGGGAGUGGAAGGUGGAGUCUCAGAAAAUGGAGAGUGAAUGUGAAAAGGUGAAAGGUAAAUGGAGCUGGUUUAAAGAUUAACUGUAAUCAGCCUCUCCCCUGCCUUCUUGGCACUUAAAAUCUGCACGUUGCCUGACACGCGGCAGAGGAGCCCAGUCUAGGGCAAGUAACAGGGAGAUAGGGCUGCAAAAUGAAUUCAUGCUGGCUGCUGAGGACUCUGAAUGCACUUUUCAUCUUUAGAUCUCAAAGUGCUUUACAAAGAAGUCCCUGGGGUUCAGCCAGGGAUUAGACACAUCAGCAGCAAGGAAACCCAAGAGAAGGGCUGGCAUGCAAGAGAGGUUUCUUUUUUUCACAGGUAAAGACGCACUACACA